AACGCGAAGAACCUUACCUGGGCUCGAAAUGUAGUGGAAUCCGGUAGAAAUAUCGGCGUCUAGCAAUAGACCGCUAUAUAGGUGCUGCAUGGCUGUCGUCAGCUCGUGUCGUGAGAUGUUGGGUUAAGUCCCGCAACGAGCGCAACCCUUACCUCUAGUUGCUACCAUUUAGUUGAGCACUCUAGCGGAACCGCCUCGGAUAACGGGGAGGAAGGUGGGGAUGAGGUCAAGUCAGCAUGGCCUUUAUGUCCAGGGCUACACACGUGUUACAAUGCGCGCCACAAAGCGUUGCAAACCCGCGAGGGGGAGCUAAUCGCAAAAAAGCGCGCUCAGUUCGGAUUGCAGUCUGCAACUCGACUGCAUGAAGCCGGAAUCGCUAGUAAUGGCGCAUCAGAACGGCGCCGUGAAUACGUUCCCGGGCCUUGUACACACCGAUAGC
rnacentral:rRNA from 1 species